UUCCAUUUAGGGGUCUGGCCCAAUACACUCCCUAAACCGUUGUCCCCUCUCAUUUCCUCAUCCCCAAUUUCAAAUCAAGCAACACCCUAAUCUUUUCUCUCUUCCGCUUCGCCGUACCGUUCGUCGCCUCUUCUUGGAUCUCACCGCCAAAUCGACACCGGUCACUGACACCGCGGCUCUCCUCGCUCCGUGGUAUACCCACCGUCGACUACACGCCGCCACCGCUUCGCCAAUCGCCGCUGAUUCGCUGUUGGUUCGAGACGACGCGGCGCCGCCGCUGACUCUGCUCCGUCAUUGGACCGCUGAGACUACACCAUCAGCUUCGCGCUCACUCUCUCCGUCGGGCUCUCUUUCCCCAAACGGAGCGUGCCCAGUCGCCGUUCUACCCCGGCAGCGUCUCCCUUUCUCUUCGACAGCCAGCGCCGUCGUUGUUCAUAGUCUGGGAGCAUCUGUCGCUGCUCCGCGGUGAUUCUCGGGCCUCGUCGUCUCAUGAACGCCCUUUCUAAGCUGAGUUCUCCUCCUCUACUUAGCUCACUUGGUGGUUCUCAAAAUGGUAGCCUGAUUUCUAUGCGAAACUUAAUUGUUGAACAAUUGUUUUGUUGUUCUACGUUCUCGAUUCCAGGUUUCACUUACUAAUCUGUUAUGAUGUGGGGCUCUAAGGCAUGCUCCUAUGUUCUUGAGCUUUUGUGUCCCUAAGUUCUCAUGUUCUAGCUUGUUUACUUGUUCUAUAUGAUGAAAUUUGGGGUUGAGGGGGUUACCUCUCGUGAGCGAAGUGGAAGGGAGUGGCUGUGGGGUUAUGACUUUGCUUCCACCGAGCUUUCUACUAACACUUGACUCCUUCACCCUCUUGCUUGCUAUUAACUGAGUGAGGAAUGUUGUGGAAUGGUGGAGUGUAACCGAGGGGUAGCAUAAGUAUAUAUAUAUAUAUAUACAUAGUUGUAACUGAAAGCUGUAAAAGUUUGCUAUUUGACUGAAUAAAGGGGUUCUUGGCUAGGGGUUCUUGGCUGCCCUUUUAGUGGCUGUUUCCUCCUGCCACAAUGCAGGCUCAUGCCGUGUACUAAAUGGGAUUCACAGCCUCAUUUGUUGCCUUGUUGUACGGUACCUUCGUCCCUUUGUAUAUUGAUGCUUUUACUGAGCUCGUGGUACAUUUUCUACAGGUGCACCACCCUGAGAUGUGGUACAUUGCGGCUGCCACUGCGGCUUGGAGUGUUGUUGUGCGGUUUUUCCUCUGGCACGUAACUGAACAGCCAGCUGGGAGGGCAGCCCCUUUCUGGUGGUGUACAAGCUGCUACUGCAGCCUUGCAGGGUGCAGGUGUGGGGUGGAAAUGUUGCUGGUUGGACUUGCUCCUUUUUGCCCAGCAUUUUCUUAUUUUUCGGAAAGGGAGCAAGGGAGGCUUGUCCCCUAUGGCUGCGUCCCCUUCUCAUUCGGCCGAACGGACUUUCAAGAUCUGUACCGAACUCGUGUGGCAAGAGCCGAAGCUAAUAGUCCCACGCUAGUGUUUUAUACUUGAUGUCCCCCAUUUGUUUUCAUCUCAACUUGUAUGGAAACAAAUAGUUAUACUAGUUUGUUAGUGUAUUUCAUUGUUUUCGUUCUCGUUGUAAGAUUUUGUAAACUAUUGACUUGAACUUCUUUAUGUAGCAUUUAUAUUUUCUUAUUCAGGAAAUAAAAUACUCUUUCAUUCAUUA